GGCGCAGGCGGCUUGUUAAGUCCUGUGUGAAAUCCCACGGCUCAACCGUGGAAGGCCACAGGAUACUGGCGAGCUAGAGACGGGUAGAGGCGAGUGGAAUUCCCGGUGUAGCGGUGGAAUGCGUAGAUAUCGGGAAGAACACCAGUGGCGAAGGCGACUCGCUGGGCCCGUUCUGACGCUCAGGCCCGAAAGCGUGGGGAGCAAACA
rnacentral:rRNA from 1 species